UAGGGAAUCUUCGGCAAUGGACGAAAGUCUGACCGAGCAACGCCGCGUGAGUGAAGAAGGUUUUCGGAUCGUAAAACUCUGUUGUUAGAGAAGAACAAGGACGUUAGUAACUGAACGUCCCCUGACGGUAUCUAACCAGAAAGCCACGGCUAACUACGUGCCAGCAGCCGCGGUAAUACGUAGGUGGCAAGCGUUGUCCGGAUUUAUUGGGCGUAAAGCGAGCGCAGGCGGUAUCUUAAGUCUGAUGUGAAAGCCCCCGGCUCAACCGGGGAGGGUCAUUGGAAACUGGGAGACUUGAGUGCAGAAGAGGAGAGUGGAAUUCCAUGUGUAGCGGUGAAAUGCGUAGAUAUAUGGAGGAACACCAGUGGCGAAGGCGGCUCUCUGGUCUGUAACUGACGCUGAGGCUCGAAAGCGUGGGGAGCAAACAGG
rnacentral:rRNA from 1 species